GCUCUUUUCAAAGUAUUAAUUAAAUAAAAAAGUUCAGAAUGGAGUCUGUUUUAUUAAAGAAACUGUUCGAAAUGAAAGUGUAAUCAGUGUAAAGGAAAAUCAGCUCUAACUUCUCCAAUUUACCGGUAACGGAAUUCAGAACAAAGUUGUUUGUUUACCAAGCAAAAAGUGUAUUCGGUCAGUGUUGGAAGAGGAAGUGUUUUCAGAGUCAAGUCAGUGCAGUAAUGGAAAAGCCAAAGUGAAGAUAUUAUGUUGAUCAUAAUUGGUGAGCAUGGGAGGAAACUGGUACGUUUCCAGUGUAAAUUGUGGAAAGAGAAGAAGUUGUGUGUGAAGUGAAUUCAGUGCACUCACAGAAAAUAAGGGAAAAAAAAUAGUGAAAGUGAAUAGCGCAUCAAAAGGCCUGUGUAGUGUCGCAAGAAUAAGUGCUAAUUGUGAAUAUAAGUGAGAUAUGCACACCCUGCCCUUGUGAUGGCCCACUCAACAAGGAUUGCAGCAGCAUCAUGUGCAUCAAGUCUGUCUUCAACAUACAGUUCAAGUAGACCAACAAUCUUCAUUAUUUGUAACGUCUUCGUCGCUCACUUGCAAACAUCCAUAUACACACCAAACUGCAACGCAUCGCCGGCCCCCCUCAGUGACCCUGUGGCUCAUCGUGCCGAGGGGCUGUAACAAGGAAAGUUGCACGUGGGCCAGUUCUUUUGCUUCCACAUGCUCUGAUUUCUGAUACAAUAGAAUACUGAUUGUAAAGAAUAAUUCAAACCGUUACACAUUCCGAUAAUGUGGCUUCCAACCCCUUGAGAAUAAUUUUGGAACCAAAUUCUAAACAUAAUACCGAAUGAGAUGACAUAAUCAUCACCGAAUUUCAGUUAUGAAUAACGAAGAAGAGUACAAAGUGAUUCGAGGGUCAGCAUUGCACGACUGAUGAAUAUUAACUCCAAGGGAUUCAACAGAACUUAAUCAUUUUUAAUAUUUAAAGUGCCAUUGAACAACUUGAUCAAUUACACUUCCAUAAAAAAUGCUGAAAUACUGUGUGUUUACUGUAGUGCACAACAAUGAUAUAUUACAGGCAUUAUUAAUACUGACACACACAGUGUGGUUGUGCUCAAUUCUAGACUCCACACUACAUAUUGUCUUCUACCAUACAUCUGUCAUAGUUCAAUUUGCAUUUCAGGCAAGCAUGAAAUAUACAGCAACAUAACCAAAAGACAAACCACACAUGAUGAGUAUCCAGCCUUGAGUGCCCUCCCAUGUGUACUUUGUAUUCCACCUUUUGUUUCCAUAAGCACUUCGGUACAGCCAUCCAUAGCACAGAUAUUUGAAAUGUAGAUGUCACAGAUUUGGUCUCCGCUUCACCCAUUGCUCUCCACCAACCUGCUAUUAUAAUUUAUAAUCUCUUAACAUGGUUAAAAGAUCUUCGUCUGUCUCUCGCAUUGCCUACCACACAACUUUG